AUUGAACGCUGGCGGCAUGCCUUACACAUGCAAGUCGAACGGUAACGCGGGGCAACCUGGCGACGAGUGGCGAACGGGUGAGUCAUGUAUCGGAACGUGCCCAGCUGUGGGGGAUAACUGCUCGAAAGAGCAGCUAAUACCGCAUACACCCCGAGGGUGAAAGCGGGGGAUCGCAAGACCUCGCGCAGUUGGAGCGGCCGAUAUCAGAUUAGGUAGUUGGUGGGGUAAAGGGUCACCAAGCCAACGAUCUGUAGCCGUUCUGAGAGGACGACCAGCCACACUGGGACUGAGACACGGCCCAGACUCCUACGGGAGGCAGCAGUGGGGAAUUGUGGACAAUGGGGGCAACCCUGAUCCAGCCAGGCCGCGUGCGGGAAGAAGGCCUUCGGGUUGUAAACCGCUUUUGUCAGGGAAGAAAAGACUCCUGUUAAUACCGGGGGUUCAUGACGGUACCUGAAGAAUAAGCACCGGCUAACUACGUGCCAGCAGCCGCAGUAA
rnacentral:rRNA from 1 species